UGGGGAAUCUUCCGCAAUGGACGAAAGUCUGACGGAGCAACGCCGCGUGAGUGAAGACGGCCUUCGGGUUGUAAAGCUCUGUUAUUCGGGAAGAACGAUUCGUUUGUGAACAAUGAACGGAAGUGACGGUACCGAAAGAGAAAGCCACGGCUAACUACGUGCCAGCAGCCGCGGUAAUACGUAGGUGGCAAGCGUUGUCCGGAAUUAUUGGGCGUAAAGAGCGCGUAGGCGGUAUGGUAAGUCUGUCUUAGAAGUGCGGGGCUUAACCCCGUGAGGGGACAGAGACUGUCAUACUGGAGUCUCGGGGAGGAAAGCGGAAUUCCUAGUGUAGCGGUGAAAUGCGUAGAGAUUAGGAAGAACACCGGUGGCGAAGGCGGCUUUCUGGACGAGCACUGACGCUGAGGCGCGAAAGCGUGGGGAGCGAACAGG
rnacentral:rRNA from 1 species